rnacentral:rRNA from 1 species
UCGAGCGGUAACAGAGAGUAGCUUGCUACUUUGCUGACGAGCGGCGGACGGGUGAGUAAUGCUUGGGAAACUGCCCAGUCGAGGGGGACAACCAUUGGAAACGAUGGCUAAUACCGCAUACGCCACUCCCUGUUAAGGGGAAUGGGAAAGAAGGGGACUCUUCGGAGCCUUUCGCGAUUGGAUGUGCCCAAGUGGGAUUAGCUAGUUGGUGAGGUAAAGGCUCACCAAGGCGACGAUCCCUAGCUGGUUUGAGAGGAUGAUCAGCCACACUGGAACUGAGACACGGUCCAGACUCCUACGGGAGGCAGCAGUGGGGAAUAUUGCACAAUGGGCGCAAGCCUGAUGCAGCCAUGCCGCGUGUAUGAAGAAGGCCUUCGGGUUGUAAAGUACUUUCAGCGAGGAGGAAAGGUUGGCAGUUAAUAACUGUCAGCUGUGACGUUACUCGCAGAAGAAGGACCGGCUAACUCCGUGCCAGCAGCCGCGGUAAUACGGAGGG